GUUCAGCACGGCAGUUCCUGUUUGCCAAAUGUCCAAUAAAACAAGAGGACCACCAGCUAGAGCCUCUGCACCAUGUGUUGCUAGUAAAGAGGUCAGCAGGUGUCAGCGGAAACCCCUGUCCCGGCUUCUCAGGCUUCAGGUGUCCUCACCAGGACGUGCCAGCGCUGUGCCGAGGAUUCGACAUUGGUUGUCAUGACACAGAUUUUAUCAACGUUCGUAAUUGAACAUAUCAGAGGAAGACAUCCAUUAAGAUAAACACACUUAAUGGUUUGGAAAAGUACAUGACAACAUAAGAAGAAAGUGACAGAUGUGAAGAAGAUGGCAGAUGUGAGGAAGGUGACAGAUGUAAGAAGGUGUCAGAUGUGUAGAAAGUGACAAACAAGCGGAAACUUAGACUUUCAUGUAAUUGAAUUUAUACUUCUGUACAUUACAUAGUUACCAUGAUUAUACAAAGACUGUAAAAACUGUACUGUGAAAUGUGUUGUUGUUUGUGUUACGUGUGUGUGUAUGUGUGCAUGUGCGCCCGCACGUUUGUGUGUGUGGUGUGUGUGUGUGUAGUCACCUAUUUGUGGUUGUAGGGGUCGAGAUUCCUGGCC